rnacentral:rRNA from 1 species
UACGUAGGUGGCAAGCGUUGUCCGGAUUUACUGGGCGUGAAGGAUGCGUAGGCGGACAUUUAAGUCAGAUGUGAAAUACCCGAGCUUAACUUGGGUGCUGCAUUUGAAACUGGGUGUCUAGAGUGCAGGAGAGGUAAGUGGAAUUCCUAGUGUAGCGGUGAAAUGCGUAGAGAUUAGGAAGAACACCAGUGGCGAAGGCGACUUACUGGACUGUAACUGACGCUGAGGCAUGAAAGCGUGGGGAGCAAACAGG